CUCCUUCCCCAGCUCACCUACUGACUAGGUAUCCCCUUUCUCCUUCCCCAGCUCACCUACUGACUAGGUAUCUCCUUUCCCCUUCCCCAGCUCACCUGUUGACUAGGUAUCCCCUUUCCCCUUCCCCAGCUCACCUACUGACUAGGUAUCCCCUUUCCACUUCCCCAGCUCACCUACUGACUAGGUAUCUCCUUUCCCCUUCCCCAGCUCACCUACUGACUAGGUAUCUCCUUUCCCCUUCCCCAGGUCACCUACUGACUAGGUAUCCCCUUUCCUCUUCUCCAGCUCACCUGUUGACUAGGUAUCCCCUUUCCCCUUCCCCAGCUCACCUACUGACUAGGUAUCCCCUUUCUCCUUCCCCAGCUCACCUGCUGACUAGGUAUCCCCUUUCCACUUCCCCAGCUCACCUACUGACUAGGUAUCUCCUUUCCCCUUCCCCAGCUCACCUACUGACUAGGUAUCCCCUUUCCCCUUCCCCAGCUCACCUGCUGACUAGGUAUCCCCUUUCCCCUUCCCCAGCUCACCUGUUGACUAGGUAUCCCCCUUCCCCUUCCCC